UACGUAGGGGGCAAGCGUUGUCCGGAUUUAUUGGGCGUAAAGAGCGUGUAGGCGGUUAGGUAGGUCCGUUGUGAAAACUCGAGGCUCAACCUCGAGACGCCGAUGGAAACCAUCUGACUAGAGUCCGGAAGAGGAGAGUGGAAUCCGUGGUGUAGCGGUGAAAUGCGCAGAUAUCGAGGAAGAACACCCGUGGCGUAAGGCGGCUCUCGUAGUACGUGACUGACGCUGAGACGCGGAAAGCGUGGGGAGCGAACAGG
rnacentral:rRNA from 1 species